ensembl:lncRNA
CAGGGGAAUUAAUUCCACUGAAGCAGUCGGUAUGCCAGCAAGGGACAGCCUUGCACAGCAGUUGAAUUUUGUUCACAGAAGAGCAAGACAUAGCUUAACAACUGCAAGAAAAUUCCUGCUUCCUUAUGACCCUGCACAAGACUUCCAGCAAAAUGAUUUGAACUCCUAUUAGCUGAACAAAAUUGCAGUUUUUCAAAAAUAUUUAAGUACCUGAAAAGGAAGUUUGCCUUCAAGUGCAGCACACCAUCAGAAGCCCAUCAAAUGUUUUGCCUGGACUUUUACACACUAUCUCAAUAAACAAAGAGCUUCUCAGAAACCAUCUGCUAAUGGGAGAAUGCAACUUUACAGCAGUUUUACAUCCUCUGACACCCUGAUUGAAGAUGAAGCAGAUGGAGAACAUAACCAAGGUGGAUACUUGUUGUGACAAUUUGGCUGCAAUGUCAGAAGCAUGAUCUAUGUAGAUAAGCAAACAAGCCUUUUAUCAAUACUGGCGUACAGAAAGGUUUCCAGAACAAAAAGGCAAGCCUCUUUCCCAACCACUCAGGCCCAGAAUCCUACGUCAGCCCAAGGUCAUCAGCCCUUGCCCCAGCAAGGCAGCAGCAGGUCUGGACUCCAGCUACCCACAGCCCUACCCUGCCUGGGCAUGGCCCUCACUAGCCAGGCCUACAUCCCAGCCUAGCAUGGCCCAGCUUUGUCCACAGGAAAUUCACUCCAGUGCUAGGUUUGCUUAUUGCUCCUGGCCACCCUUCUCCUGGUAGGAUGAAGAGACUACGCCUGGCUGCCAAUGUCUUCCCAAGGGAGCCCAGGGGAGCCUGCAGCCCCCACAGGGGGUGCUAAGAACUUUUAAGUUCUUAGUUACAAUAAAGUAUGUCAAUACAUAACUGGUAUGCAUUUACAAAUCUUGCCUGCCCAAAUCUCAACCACUCUAACACCACACUUAGUCUGGCAAGAUGCAGCACAUUCUACGCACAAGCUACUCCCACAAAGGAGCCUCUGCACAGGUCAUGGGAGCAUUCAGCUCCGCAGGGAGCAUUGGUGCCAUGUCAGGGUUACACCAAGUAGUUCAAUUUUCCAAAGUAGUUUCUAAAGACAACAAGGAGUAUCUUCUCAGCCCUUUUGAAAUCCUGUCACAAAGGUUAUUCUGGUUAAUUUCCCAUUUCUGACAACUUGCUCCUAGUUUUUUUAUGGCAAUGAAAGCCUUGGGUAGACAUCUUCCAAACUGGCUUCCCAGUUUCAGACACUGCUGCAGCUGCUCAUUUUCAGAAUUAAUUGAUAUUAUUCACCACACUAAAUAUUCAUUUGAGUUUUCACCUGAAUUUUCAAGGAUGAUUUACAGACUCUGCUUCUGCUUCAUUCGUGUUCUGGUUCAACCUUACAUUUUCAUUCACUUGAGAAAUGAAACCACAGCCAAGCAAUUCAGGUAAUCACAUCAUCUGAUUUGACAGCUAAAUCUGUCUUAACUGCCAGCUUGUGCAAUGAGGAAGAAAGGAAGAAAGAAAAAAGCCCUUCACCCUGGCAUGGGGCAGCCCAUGUCAGAGGGAAAGCCAAGAGGAACUGAUGGAGGCCUCUGGUCUCUCAUCUGUGCUUAGCUUCAUCUCAGAUCACAGCAGAGCUUUCGACAGAGGAGGAAAUUUGGAUGAAAGGCAGCUGCUGGCUCCUGGAUGAUAAGGCAGAUGAAAGAACUGAAGUCUUGCAAGUGAGAGAUGACUGGUUAAUAAGAGGUUGAAAUUGGCAGGGCUUUCUAUUAGAGAUAUUGGCACUACAGGUUCUUAGAAGUCUGGGAAAAGGCCCAAGGAAUAGAGCAAUUGAGGAAUAAUCCUUCUUUAAAAUAAUAGAGUUAAACGAACUAAAUCAAUUGUUAAGUAUUUUCUGUACAUAAGGUCUUUACUGAAGGCUUUGUCUGGGGUGUCAGGAGUUCUGGGAGCAUGAGAAAGCUUGUUGGGUAGAGAGGUCUCUGCUCUCCAGACUCUCAGGUUGGAAUUGUUAUCAGCAAAGUUAGGGUCAGACUAGGAGGGAAGAGGGCACUGCUGAGAUCCUGAUGUGAUGAAAGAAUUUCUAGGAUGGUGUAGGACAGCAUGGAACAGUGAAAUAAAUGGGUGAAGAGGACAUCUUGCAAUGCCUGGGAACAACCCCAGGCACGAGUACAGCUGAAAAGCAGCUUUGCAGAAAAGGUCCUGGAGGUCUUGCUAGACACCAAGUUGAAUACGAGCUGUCAGCAUGCCCUUGCCUUAAAGAAGGCCAGUUGGGCUACAUAAGGUACACUAAUGCCAGCAGGUCAAGGGAGGUGAUCCUUCCCCACUAUCUAGCACUGCUGAGGCCACACCUGAAAUACUGUGUCCAGUUCUGGACUGCCCAGUACAAGGGAGACAUAGAAAUACUGG